ACUAGCAUAAACAGCGGAAUCGCGACGCAGCUGCGUGCCAUAAGCUCCAGAAGCUGAAACAUUCGCGAAGCUGGCGAACGCCGGUGCUACGCAGAAGCUUGCGUGGCCCGAUUGUUUGAAUAUUUCCAUAACGAGGGAGCGCAAGAAAAUGAGUGCAGCGGUCCGUAUUUUUGGGAUUUCUGAGCCAACGGUCUUCUCUUUUUGCUAAUCCUCCGCGACGUUGAUUACUAGCAUGCGGAUUUUACGCAUGUGCGACGAGAAGCAAGAUUAGUAGUAAGAUUAAAAUAAUUUAAGAAUGUCGAUUUGCUCUUUCCUCGUUGUCGAGAUUGUUCAAGGAAGAGAUAAAUUAUAGUUAUAAUACAUUGUAACCGGUAACCGCUCCUUACAAUUCACGAAGACAAUUUUCAUUCUGCAGCAAGAUCCACAAGCUAGUAAUUACUAAAAUGGAAAGUUAAAAUGAAUUCAUCCUUGUACGAGUCUGCUAAUUGUCCGCGCGAGUUUGGAGCAUUAACGUUAGAAAUCUCCAGCAUUUAUUUUAACCAGUUAACUGUUGGAAUCUCCUUGAAAAUUAGCUGAUGUACUAUGACACAAAUACACUCGUCAAAAAAGGGCUAACUGGUUCAGGAUAUCGCUACGCCAAACUGUCUCAAGAAGACGCAUGAUCUCAAAAGAUGCAGUAAAUCAAGUACAUGAAGUUUGCCAACGUUAUGAAGUACUAUGACCGAAGGCCUGUUACAGAAGGAUCAUAUAAUAAUUGUCCAAUAAUAAAAUAGAUCGCGGAGCAGAACGAAGUAAUUUUGAUGGCACGAAA